rnacentral:lncRNA from 1 species
CUUUUUUCAAAAAAGUUACUUUUUAGCUUGUUUCCAAAAUUCUGCUAGUUUGACGAACAUUUGUACCAGUUUACGUUACACGAAAAAAAAAAACGGGGUGGUUCUUUCCUCAAGCUUUCUCUGCUCUUUUGUGUGCACUGUCCACUGUGUGCGCGACCACUCCAUUACAGCGACAAAUAUUUGAACAGAGGAAACCACAGUGAUGGGCCUGAACUGCUGCAAGGAGAGCUGGACCGAGGAUCUUGAUACUGAGCAGUUACUGCUCAGCAGGAAUGAAGUCAUUAAACAAGAGCAGGUUCUGGAAAUGCCAGAAGUUCAAAAGAGCAAUGACCUGUUCAUGAAGGAUGUUCUAGAUACUGCAAUGGAACACCUGACUGAAAAUGACAUCAAGCUUUCGGUUCCAUGUGAGGAGAAUCCAGCGGGUCUACAUGGAGUAGUGGUCUAUGACCACAAAUCAAUCCCCCUGUCCUUUUAAUGCAACCUAAAGUGAAUGGGUUUAUUAAUUUCAUUUAGCAUUAAAACAUGUUCAUUUGAUGUCUUUAUUUUUGCUUGUUAAAUUCGAAUUGUAAAAAAAAAAAGUUAAAUGAUUUUAAACAGAUGAUUAGUAAUCAUGAUUUAAUAAUAAAGCAGGAUCCAAGAACGGCCGAGUCUUUGAG